AUAUGUCUUUGAUAUGUGCCUUUCAGGAACUUGCAACAACUCACUGGAAGGAGCAUGGACAACCUGUACUAGAUGUCUUACUUCAAAAGGUAUCAGAGAAAUCGAUUCAAGCACAACAAUUUAUGGAACCACAUUUUGAAUCUUCCAAAGCUAAAUGGAUGUUUCUUGUGUCAAGCACUGAACCUUAUGUGCAAACUGUGUCAAGUAAGCAGUGGAAGUUUAUCACACAUCUAAGAGUGCCAUGUCCAGCCACAUAGCCAAAGUACAAGAAAUUUCAGAUCCUUAUUUCCAGGCUGCCAAGAGAUUUUCUCAACCAUAUGUAAAACAAUUUGCUACUAUUACAAACCA